UCAUUAUGGCAGAUGCUUUAGGGUGCGUCCCAUUUCUACCCCUUACCCCUCCCCCUUACCCCUCCCCCUUGGUUUGAAGGGGUAAGGGUGUCCCAAUUCUCAUUUUGGUUAAGGGGUAGGGCGAAGACAAAAGGCUACGUAGCCCUUGAAACGAAGCGAAAACGUAGCUUGAAACGAAGCUAUCCAAGGACCACACUUCAAAGGGAGGGCUUCGAGGAAAAUCCGGCCGAAAAUGCAUUUUUAGUAGUUGUUAUCAUUCGGACUCAUGAUGUAAAGUUGACUGUAUAUUCAGCUCGAAGUCAUACACGGACAAUGCGAUCUCUGAGCUCGAUAUAAAACAUGACAUAACGGUAAAUAACCGUUGCACUAUACAAGAUUUUAGCGCUCUCUAGUGGCCAACCGAAAUCGCCAAAUAAACAAACAGCAGCGAUGGCUCAAGCGAAGGACACGCACAAAUGGACACCACAGGAGACCAGACGGCUCAUUAAUUUCAGGGGGACCAGGGACAAUGAGUUCCUAAAAUCGGAAAUGAUCGCCAGAAAACAGUGGGAGUGAGUCUUACGUUGUUCAAUCUUUUCAUUCUUGCGUCUGUUUUCUACUUUGGUAUUUCUGUGUUGAGCUCAAUAGCCCACUGAAUGUCUGUGUCAUUAUACCAAUUGCCUAAUGAAUGUAUCAAC